GCCGGACGCGGUGGCGCGUGUCUGUAGUCGCAGCUACUUGGGAGGCUGAGGCUGGAGGAUCGCUUGAGCCCAGGAGUUUGGGGCUGUGGUGCGCUAUGCUGAUCGGGUGUCUGCGCUAAGUUCGGCAUCAAUAUGGUGACCUCCCGGGAGUGGGGGCCACCAAGUUGCCUAAGGAGGGGUGAACCAGAGCAGGUCAAAAGUCUGUGCUGAACAGUAGUAAGAUCACACCUGUGAUUAGCUACUGCACUCCAGUGUGGGUCAGUAGAAGCAGGGC
rnacentral:SRP_RNA from 1 species